AACGAACGCUGGCGGCAUGCCUAACACAUGCAAGUCGAACGGGAUCCUAGCUUGCUAGGUGAGAGUGGCGGACGGGUGAGUAACACGUGGGAAUCUGCCUUUUGGUUCGGGAUAACCGCGGGAAACUGCGGCUAAUACCGAAUGCCCUCGAGAGAGGAAAGAUUUAUCGCCAGAAGAGGAGCCCGCGUCCGAUUAGCUUGUUGGUGAGGUAAAAGCUCACCAAGGCGACGAUCCUUAGCUGGUCUGAGAGGAUGAUCAGCCACACUGGGACUGAGACACGGCCCAGACUCCUACGGGAGGCAGCAGUGGGGAAUAUUGGACAAUGGGCGAAAGCCUGAUCCAGCAAUGCCGCGUGAGUGAUGAAGGCCUUAGGGUUGUAAAGCUCUUUUACCCGGGAUGAUAAUGACAGUACCGGGAGAAUAAGCCCCGGCUAACUCCGUGCCAGCAGCCGCGGUAAU
rnacentral:rRNA from 1 species